GAUGAGCGCUGGCGGCGUGCCUAAUACAUGCAAGUCGAGCGGUAAGGCCCCUUCGGGGGUACACGAGCGGCGGACGGCUGAGUAACACGUAGGAACGUACCCCAAAGUGAGGGAUAACUGCUCGAAAGAGUAGCUAAUACCGCAUGUGAUCCACGGAUUAAAGCUUUAUGCGCUUUGGGAACGGCCUGCGUCCGAUUAGCUUGUUGGUGAGGUAAUAGCUCACCAAGGCGAUGAUCGGUAGCUGGUCUGAGAGGAUGAUCAGCCAGACUGGGACUGAGACACGGCCCAGACUCCUACGGGAGGCAGCAGUAGGGAAUUUUCCACAAUGGGCGAAAGCCUGAUGGAGCAACGCCGCGUGCAGGAUGAAUGCCUUAGGGUUGUAAACUGCUUUUAAUAGUGACGAUUAUGACGGUAACUACUGAAUAAGGACCUGCUAACUACGUGCCAGCAGCCGCCGCGG
rnacentral:rRNA from 1 species